CUCCUUCCCCUCCAUUCUCUCCCUCUCUCUCUCUCUUUCUCACACACACACACAGAGGACUUCUCUUCCUCAGCAACCUUCUGGAGCAACAGAGGAGAGCAUGUGAAGGGAAUUAAGGACUGCUCAGGUGUCUUUAUAGAGAAGGCUUCUCGAUCAUCCUUCUCAUACCCUGAGGGUAAUAAUGAUCUCACCAUGGAUUGCUUCGA